rnacentral:rRNA from 1 species
CAUGUCUUUUUGAUUUUAGUUUAAGGUUUGGCCUGCUCAAUGAUUAUUUAAAUUGCCGCGGUAUUUUGACCGUGCAAAGGUAGCAUAAUAAUUAGUUUUUUUAUUGAAAGCUGGAAUGAAUGGCUGGACGAGAAAGCUGCUGUCUCUUUAUAAUUUUUUUUUGAAUUUAACUUUUGAGUUAAAAGGCUCAAUUGAGCAUUAAAGACGAGAAGACCCUAUAGAGUUUAAUUGAUUAUUUAAUAUGAUUUUCUUUUGGUAUUUUAUAUUAUAUUAUUAUAAUUUAUUUGGUUGGGGUGACUUAAAGAUUAAAUUAACUCUUUUAUUUAAGUAUCAAUGAUUUUUGAUUACUAAAUCUGAAUUUUUCAAAUUUAAGAUAAAUUACCUUAGGGAUAACAGCGUAAUUUUUCUUUAGAGUUCUUAUUGAAAGAAAAGUUUGCGACCUCGAUGUUGGAUUAAAAUUUAUUUUUGGUGCAGAAGCUUUAAAAUUAAGUCUGUUCGACUUUUAAAAUUUUACAUGAUCUGAGU